CCCGGCCAGAAAGCACAUACCAGAAAGUAGUACAUAUUUAACACAAAAUAGUUCCUACGCAUGAGUGUAACUUUAGAAAUAUGUAGAAUAUUUAGGUAUUUUUGGUAUCAAAUGAAAGCUGAAGGACUGGUGAUCACUGUAGAACACGUUUGGACUUUUAAUUUUGAAUAUUAAAAAAACUGCACCAAAUUUUAAAAAGAGGG
rnacentral:lncRNA from 1 species